rnacentral:rRNA from 1 species
UACGUAGGGGGCUAGCGUUGUUCGGAAUCACUGGGCGUAAAGGGCGCGUAGGCGGCGAUGUAAGUCAGGCGUGAAAGCCCCGGGCUCAACCUGGGAACGGCGCUUGAUACUGCGUUGCUUGAGGACGGGAGAGGAUGGUGGAAUUCCCAGUGUAGAGGUGAAAUUCGUAGAUAUUGGGAAGAACACCGGUGGCGAAGGCGGCCAUCUGGGCCGUUUCUGACGCUGAGGCGCGAAAGCGUGGGGAGCAAACAGG